CGGCGGACGGGUGAGUAACGCGUGGGUAACCUGCCUCAUACAGGGGGAUAACAGUUGGAAACGGCUGCUAAUACCGCAUAAGCGCACAGUACCGCAUGGUACGGUGUGAAAAACUCCGGUGGUAUGAGAUGGACCCGCGUCUGAUUAGCUAGUUGGUGAGGUAACGGCCCACCAAGGCGACGAUCAGUAGCCGACCUGAGAGGGUGACCGGCCACAUUGGGACUGAGACACGGCCCAA
rnacentral:rRNA from 1 species